CCCUUGGCAACCACAAGCUUAUUCUCCAAGUCCAUGAGUUUCUUUUCUGUGGAAAGGCUCAUUUGUGCUGUAUAUUAGAUUCCAGAUUUAAAUGAUAGCAUAUGAUGUUCUUUCUCUUUCUGAUUUUCUUCACUUAUUUUGAGCAUUUCUAGUUCCAUCCAUGUUGCUGCAAAUGGCAUUCUUUUGCUUUUUUAUGGCUGAGUAGUAUUCCAUGUGUAUAUGUACCACAUCUUCUUAAUCCAAUCAUCUGUCAGUAGACAUCUUUGUUGUUUCCAUGUCUUGGCUAUUGUGAAUAGUGCUGCAAUGAACAUAGAGGCACAUGUAUCUUUUUGAAUGAAUUGUCCAGAUAUAUGCUCAGGAGUGGGAUUGCUGGAUCUUAUGGUAGUUCUAUAUUUAGUUUUCUGAGGAACCUCAAUUUUCAUUAGGUUGAAGAGAAAAUAGUCAAUAAUAUUAAUGUAAAUCCACAUAUUUCUAAAGAGCAUAAAUGUGAAAUUUCACACGAUGAUAAAGGAAUGUAUAGUGUGGGAAGUAUUUAAUCUUUCCACACUAAUAUGCUCAUUCAAAUAUAUAGUAUUUCAUAACUUGUUCUUGACUUCAUAUGCUUGGCUGAUGUGGAGCUGUCUGGGCUGAAAACAUGCAUGAAAUAAAUGUUCAUUUUUAACCCUACAUUUCUUUUCAAAUAGGUUUUAUUACAACACAGUUUUUCAGAUCACUCGAGGCACUUCUGAAUUAUGCAGUAAGAUAAAAAUGGGUUUUGUAAAAUUAUCCCAGCCUUAUGGCAGAAGGAAAAACUGUUCCCUCUGCAGUAAUUUUUAACUUCUGAAACUCUCUGAUUCUGUCCUUUCAGAGCUCUAAACUCAUUCAUUCACCAGACUUUUAUUCAUCACUUUCUGUGAGCCAGACAAUGUGCCUUUGAUUAGCAAUCCGUUGCUGUGUCUUCUGUUCAUCUUCUACAACAUUAUUCUUCCUACCCACUUGUUUUGUGCCUCAAUUUCCUAAUUUAAAAUAUGGCACUUUUGUAGUUCUUGUUAUCCAUUUAUUUGUCAAAAGCAUUGAGAUGUAUAGCACCGAUGUUUGGUGUGUGGGCUGAAAUAAAUGAAUAAUUAUCUCAAUUUUUGUGAAGAUACUCUAAACAAUGUCCAAAGAGGAAGUGUGGUUAAUUUCUUUGACUAUUCCACGAGUGUUUGAAAAAAAUCUGGACUUCCUGUUGGUGUGCACUGGGUUAAUGAUCUGGUGUGUUGCCAUAGUUGUGGAGUGGGUCAUAUUCCAUACUUCCACGUGCCCUGGGUAUAUGCUGUGGGUGCAG
rnacentral:lncRNA from 1 species